GAUGAAGAACGUAGCGAAAUGCGAUAAGUAGUGUGAAUUGCAGAAUUCAGUGAAUCAUCGAAUCUUUGAACGCACAUUGCGCCCCUCGGUAUUCCGUGGGGCAUGCCUGUUCGAGCGUCAUUUACCCCUCAAGCACUGCUUGGUGUUGGGCGUCUGUCCCGCUUCGCGCGCGGACUCGCCCCAAAGGUAUUGGCAGCGGUCGUGCCAGCUUCUCGCGCAGCACAUUGCGCUUCUCGAGGCGGUCGAUCGGCGUCCACGAAGCUCACCUCCACCGUUUGACCCGGAUCAGGUAGGGAUACCCGCUGAACUUAAGCAUAUCAAUAAGCGAGGA
rnacentral:misc_RNA from 1 species